rnacentral:misc_RNA from 1 species
GUCAUUAUGGCUGAUAAAGGCUUUCUUUGCAUAUUUGCUUGGGGGGUGUUUAUUAGUUACGUGGUUUCGGGGAUGUUACCGUAAAGGUGCAUGAGUGGUGUUUGGCGUGUUACGGGUGGUUGGCUCUUUGCUUGCGCAACAACUUCCACCUGGCAUGCCUUUUCAGUUUUGUUUCAAUGCUUCGAUUGCAUUGAUCGCGCGAUGGGUUUCUUGUGUUGCAUUCCUAAUUGAUGGUAUCGUUUGACGGAUCGCUCAAUAUAUUCGUCMUGUGUCGCGAACGCGAUGCGAGAUGAACUUUAAGGCAGCCUUUGUGAUCCACUCUUUUGAUGCGUAACCGCAUUGAUUUUGUGGCUCUCUGAGUGUUUGCUUGUUUUCAUGGAUAUGGAACCUUGUGUGGGCAUGUGAUCUUUUAAUAGUUCAUUAUUUGCUCUAUUAAUGCUUUCGUAAAUACGAUUUCCUAUCAUGUGCUAACGUGGUAGGAUGUAUCGGAUAUGAAUGCUACCUGG